rnacentral:rRNA from 1 species
AUUGAACGCUGGCGGAAUGCUUUACACAUGCAAGUCGAACGGUAGAGGGGGCAACCCCUUGAGAGUGGCGAACGGGUGAGUAAUAUAUCGGAACGUGCCCAGUCGUGGGGAUAACGUAGCGAAAGUUACGCUAAUACCGCAUACGAUCUAAGGAUGAAAGCGGGGGACUCGCAAGAGCCUCGCGCGAUUGGAGCGGCCGAUAUCAGAUUAGGUAGUUGGUGGGGUAAAGGCUCACCAAGCCAACGAUCUGUAGCCGGUCUGAGAGGACGACCAGCCACACUGGAACUGAGACACGGUCCAGACUCCUACGGGAGGCAGCAGUGGGGAAUUUUGGACAAUGGACGCAAGUCUGAUCCAGCCAUUCCGCGUGCAGGAUGAAGGCCCUCGGGUUGUAAACUGCUUUUGUACGGAACGAAAAGGUUUCUAUUAAUACUAGGAGCUCAUGACGGUACCGUAAGAAUAAGCACCGGCUAACUACGUGCCAGCAGCCGCGGU